GGUGCGUGGCUCUGAUGGCCCUGCGCGCGAGCCGUGGGUCCCGACACUGGAGCGAGCCGCGGGUUGGUGCUCUGAGGAGUCGCCAAGAACUAGAGGAGCACCUCCAAAGUACAAACUUUGUGGAGAGUUGUGAGCCUGUGGCUUGGUGUUAAAUGCCACUGCCCGGCGGCCGGCAGCAACACGUUCAUACUCAAUUUCUCCUUUAGUGCCUUUACACCCCAGUCAAGGUCAAACUGAGGACUCCCUUGGCAGGAGAAGGCAGAAUCAGAGGAAGUACUAACACCUACUGGUUUGAGUGUUUCCCAGUCCAUGUGCAUCAUUUUAUUGAGGUUAUCAGUUUCCUUCAAGUUGUUUGGGAACUGAUCGAGAUUUCAAGCUAAAAUGUUGAUGAAUAGCCUGAGAGGCAUUCUUCAAAUCUCUCCAUGUAAAUCUCUGUGGAGAAGAUUCCAGAUUCCGGCGACCAUGCCAGUGAGGCCCUGCAGCCUCUACACUUGCACUUAUAAAACCCGGAACC